GAUGAACGCUAGCGGCAGGCCUAAUACAUGCAAGUCGAACGAGAUUAAGAGGCUUGCUUCUUAUGAAAGUGGCGCACGGGUGCGUAACGCGUAUGCAACCUACCUUAAUCAGGGGGAUAGCCCGAAGAAAUUCGGAUUAAGACCGCAUAAAAACACAGGAUAGCAUUAUCCAAUGUUCAAAUAUUUAUAGGAUUAAGAUGGGCAUGCGUGUCAUUAGCUAGUUGGCGGGGUAACGGCCCACCAAGGCGACGAUGACUAGGGGAUCUGAGAGGAUGACCCCCCACACUGGUACUGAGACACGGACCAGACUCCUACGGGAGGCAGCAGUAAGGAAUAUUGGUCAAUGGAGGGAACUCUGAACCAGCCAUGCCGCGUGCAGGAAGACAGCCCUCUGGGUCGUAAACUGCUUUUAUUCGGGAAUAAACCUUUCUACGUGUAAGAAGCUGAAUGUACCGAAGGAAUAAGGAUCGGCUAACUCCGUG
rnacentral:rRNA from 1 species